AUCAUUCGGAUUGAGAUUCCGUUGAGCCGGUGGUGGUCAAAGUGAAGAAAAUUCUAUUUUGCUUCAUUUGUCGCAGUUGGAAGAAAACAACGGCCAUAAAUCGCGCUACUAGGCUACUCGCUUCGUGUCGACAUCACGAGAGCCUAGUUCGAGCGCGUGUGUCGAGGAUCGCGGCAAGGGCGUCGCGCAGUAGAUAGCGUGGACCACUGGCGUUAGCUCUCUACCCUCGAGUAUAAUAAAAAAGGAAAGAAUGAUAUGUAAAACUUUUUUGUGAAGAGGUGUAAUGUAUUUGAGAGAUGGUAUUUUGGUUGUAUGUAUGAAAAGUGAAGUGAAAUAUGUAAUGGUUCAUGUGUGUGAACAAGUAAUGUAAUAGAUAAUUUAAAUUCUCUUG